UCAUGCUUCAGGGUUGUCAUGUUGUUUUGUUUAGGAGGUGUCUCCGUGGGUGCGGUGACUCUUGUGAGGGAUGGUUAUUCAGGAGUCUUUGUUUUUUCCCAUUAGUAUAGAUUUCCGUUGCCUCUGCCGGGGUUGCAUGUUUUUCUUUUCUUGAUGGUCUUGUGAUCUCUGCUUUGUGCCGCUCUACUGGGAGGUCAUGUUCAAAUGCACUCAUUGCUGGGGCCGUGUUGGUUUUGCCUCUGGACAGGUCCAUUCUGUGUUCGUUUGGCCUCUGGCUGGGUGUUCGAGUUGUUGCUCCUGUAUAAGCUUGAUUUUCGUCCAUGGUGUUGUUUGUGGCUGGCACCUUGUAUACACCCGACUUUUGUUUGGAUUCUGCUCUGUCUUUGUCAUUUCGAGGAUAGUUGUGUGUCGUGGGAUGUCUUCUGUGUGUUAUUCUUUUGUUGGAUUUCUUAAUUAAUCUUUUAACUAGCUUGGAGUCCUUCAAUUCGUAUGGGACAGGUUCAAACCCUACUCCUUCAGCUUCUUCUAGGACGUUUGUAGCAGACUCUAACUGUUGCACCUUAUUAAAUAUCUUAUUCAAGAAGCCUAUGCUAUAUCCAUAAAGUUGGCCCGUUUUAUAGAUGUAAUCCAGUUCUUUGUUCUUCGCUUCUUGGGUAUUGGCAUAGAGCAGGGGUGUCAAACUGGCGGCCCGC
rnacentral:lncRNA from 1 species